rnacentral:rRNA from 1 species
AUGGCGUGCGGUCUCCUGCCGCUGCUCCACGGCCCCCUCUCCUCUCCGCCUCGUCCCCUCCUCCCAUCCGGCUCUCCCUCCCUCCUCGCGCCCAGGACCCUGCCCCUAGCCCCUCGCCGGAGCAGGGUUUCGCGCCACCUGUCACCUGCCCCUCCGCGCGCUCUACCGGACAUUGCCGCCGCGGCGGCGGGCCUCCGGGACGCGGUCGCCGGCGCCUUCCAGGCGUCUCCGCCUACGUGGAGCUCGGCUGCCACCACCAACGCCGCCAUCUUCGUCGCGGGCACGCCGCUGCUCCUCUCCGGCCUCUCCGCCUCCGGCAUCGCGGCCGCCUACGUCCUCGGCACCCUCACCUGGCGCGCAUUUGGGGCCCGGGCUUACCUCCUCGUCGCCGCCUACUUCGUGGUGGGCACAGCAGUGACCAAGUUAAAGAUAAAACAAAAAGAAGCUUUGGGAGUGGCUGAGAAAAAAGGAGGAAGGAGAGGUCCUGGUAGUGUUAUUGGUUCUAGUGCUGCUGGUUGUGUCUGUGCUCUCCUAUCAGUAUAUAAUGUGGGCGGGGGAGCAUUCGCGGAACUCUGGACACUUGGCUUUGUUGCAAGUUUCUGUACUAAACUCAGUGAUACAGUUUCCAGUGAAAUAGGGAAGGCAUAUGGAAGAACAACGUACCUAGUGACAACAUUUAAGGUUGUUCCAAGAGGUACAGAAGGUGCAGUCAGUGUUGAGGGCACUCUUGCUGGAAUUUUAGCAUCGAUGUUUCUGGCAGGGAUUGGUUAUAUUCUGGGGCAGGUAAAUCUACCACAGAGUGUGCUAUGUGUUCUUGCAUCCCAGAUUGCAAAUUUUGGCGAGAGUUUGAUUGGCGCAACACUGCAGGAUAAGGAAGGUUUUGAAUGGCUGAACAAUGAUGUUGUCAACGUGGUCAAUAUCUCGGCCGGCGCCGUUUUGGCUGCUCUAAUGCAGCAGUUGCUAGUGAGCUGGCGUUCAUGA